UACGGAGGGGGCGAGUGUUGUUCGGAAUUACUGGGCGUAAAGGGCGCGCAGGCGGCCUGGCAAGUCGAGUGUGAAAUCCCUUGGCUUAACUGGGGAAUGGCGCUCGAAACUACCUCGCUGGAGGGCGGGAGAGGGAAGUGGAACUCUCGGUGUAGGGGUGAAAUCUGUAGAUAUCGAGAGGAACACCGGUGGCGAAGGCGG
rnacentral:rRNA from 1 species